GUACAUGUGGCGGAAUGGCAGACGCAACAAGUUGCCAACUUGUCGGUCAUGUGACCGUGGGGGUUCGAAUCCCCUCGUGUGAUA
rnacentral:tRNA from 1 species